rnacentral:rRNA from 1 species
AGAGGUUUGAUCAUGGCUACAGGACGAACGCUGGCGGGCGUGGCUUCAUACAUGCGAGUCGAACGAGAAGCUGACUUCGGUCAGUGGAAAGUGGCGGACGGGUGAGUAAUAUGUAGAGAAUCUGCCCUUGGAGUGGGGGACAACAGAGGGAAACUUCUGCUAAUACCCCAUAUGAGCUAACUUGAAAUAGUUAUCUUGAAAACUCCGGUGCUCAAGGAUGAGUCUGCAUCUGAUUAGCUAGUUGGCGGUGUAAUGGACCACCAAGGCGACGAUCAGUAGCUGGUUUGAGAGGAUGAUCAGCCACAAUGGGACUGAGACACGGCCCAUACUCCUACGGGAGGCAGCAGUAGGGAAUUUUGCGCAAUGGGCGAAAAAGCCUGACGCAGCAACGCCGCGUGAACGAUUAAGCCCUUCGGGGUGUAAAGUUCUGUCAGUAGGGACAAAUUUUGACGGUACCUACAGAGGAAGCACCGGCUAACUCCGUGCCAGCCGCCGC